AACGAACGCUGGCGGCAUGCCUAACACAUGCAAGUCGAACGAGACCUUCGGGUUUUUUCGCGCCCGGCUGCGUACCGCGUGGGAACCUGCCCUUAGGUUCGGUAUACCUCCCCUAAAGGUGUCCUAAUACCAGAUAAUGUCUUCGGGCCAAAGAUUUAUCGCCAUUGGAUGGGCCAUAGUUGGUUUAGCUAGUUGGUAGGGGAAAAGCCUACCAAGGCGCCGAUCCAUAGCUGGUCUGAGAGGAUGAUCAGCCACACUGGGACUGAGACACGGCCCAGACUCCUACGGAAGGCAGGAGAGGGGAAUAGUGGACAAUGGGGGAAAGGCUGAGCCAGCCAUGACGGGUGAGUGAUGAAGGCCGUAGGGUAGGAAAGCGCUCUUACCCGGGAUGAUAAUGACAGUACCGGGAGAAUAAGCUCCGGCUAACUCCGUG
rnacentral:rRNA from 1 species